ACAUCAAGACAACAACCUGAGCACGCAGGCUUCGUGUUCCAUUCCGGACGCUGUACCGUUCUUGUGCGUGAUAGCUGUGUUAGCGUCAAUUUUCGUGUUUGUUCGUGAGCGUUAGCGAUCAAAACCGUGACUUUCGAGUGCGAGUGCUUUUUCUAACAGGUGUUAGACGACGCAGGCAUUGCUACAGAUGCGGCCGGCCACAUCAUAAGGCGCUGCCGCGGCGAAGUCUCAUGCUUUUGCGGUCCGCUGCUGUUGCUGCUGCUGACAGCGUCGUUUGACGGUGCUGCGUAUCAUCAUCGGCUUGAUGACCGACAAUCAGGAUUUGAGCUUUGCCGUCAGCGCUGUGAACGCUGUGGGAGCCGUGAGACCACCCGAAGCUCUGAUGGCGGUGUCGGGUACGAACGGCGGACUGGAUGCGCCGAACGUGUGCCGAGACUUCCUACGCAAGGUGUGUCACAGAGGCAGUCGCUGCAAGUUUGUGCAUCCUGAGGGACUAGACAACGAUGAUGCCCGCGGCACCAUGGAGCCUGUCUUCUGCCAUGAUUACCAGAACUCCGAGUGUCUGCGACCAAACUGCAAAUUCCUGCACUGCACUCGUCAGGUGAGUUAAACCAUUCA